AUUGAACGCUGGCGGCAGGCUUAACACAUGCAAGUCGAGCGGGGUGAUGGUGCUUGCACCAUCACUUAGCGGCGGACGGGUGAGUAAUGCUUAGGAAUCUGCCUAUUAGUGGGGGACAACAUCUCGAAAGGGAUGCUAAUACCGCAUACGUCCUACGGGAGAAAGCAGGGGAUCACUUGUGACCUUGCGCUAAUAGAUGAGCCUAAGUCGGAUUAGCUAGUUGGUGGGGUAAAGGCCUACCAAGGCGACGAUCUGUAGCGGGUCUGAGAGGAUGCUCCGCCACACUGGGACUGAGACACGGCCCAGACUCCUACGGGAGGCAGCAGUGGGGAAUAUUGGACAAUGGGGGGAACCCUGAUCCAGCCAUGCCGCGUGUGUGAAGAAGGCCUUAUGGUUGUAAAGCACUUUAAGCGAGGAGGAGGCUCUUUUGGUUAAUACCCAAGAUGAGUGGACGUUACUCGCAGAAUAAGCACCGGCUAACUCUGUGCCAGCCGCCGCGGUAA
rnacentral:rRNA from 1 species